AUUGAACGCUGGCGGCAGGCCUAACACAUGCAAGUCGAACGAGUGGCGGACGGGUGAGUAAUGUCUGGGAAACUGCCCGAUGGAGGGGGGUAACUACUGGAAACGGUAGCUAAUACCGCAUACCAUCGGAUGUGCCCCGAGGGGAUUAGCUAGUAGGUGGGGUAACGGCUCACCUCGGCGACGAUCCCUAGCUGGUCUGAGAGGCGGACCAGCCACACUGGAACUGAGACACGGUCCAGACUCCUACGGGAGGCAGCAGUGGGGAAGAUUGCACAAUGGGCGCAAGCCUGAUGGAGCCAUGCCGCGUGUAUGAAGAAGGCCUUCGGGUUGUAAAGUACUUUCAGCGGGGAGGCGUUACCCGCAGAAGAAGCACCGGCUAACUCCGUGCCAGCAGCCGCGGUAAUAC
rnacentral:rRNA from 1 species